GAUGAAGAACGUAGCGAAAUGCGAUAAGUAAUGUGAAUUGCAGAAUUCAGUGAACCAUCGAAUCUUUGAACGCACAUUGCGCCCGCCAGUAUUCUGGCGGGCAUGCCUGUCCGAGCGUCAUCUCAACCCUCGAGCCCCCCCGGGGGCUCGGCGUUGGGGACCGGCCCCGCCCCAGGGCGCGCCGCCCCCCAAAUCCAGUGGCGGUCCCGCCGCAGCCUCCCCUGCGCAGUAGCUUGCACACUCGCACCGGAGGGCGGCGCGGCCACGCCGUAAAACCCCCCGACCACGGAGCCCCGGCUCCUGAACGUUGACCUCGGAUCAGGUAGGAAUACCCGCUGAACUUAAGCAUAUCAAUAAGCGGAGGA
rnacentral:misc_RNA from 1 species